GGCAGACACCUACCAACUCCCCCACUCUAUUUUCAGCCCACUGCUCUGGCUUCACUUCCCCCUCUGCGAUAGGCUUGCCGGCUACUCAAUCACCACACCUCCCCACUAGGAUAGGCUACCGGCUGUUCCCUUUCCUGUUUGGCCAAGGGCAAGGCACUCUGGGAAGCGCAGUCCUUAAGUAUGACUUCACCUGCUUCUAGGCCACUGCUAAGGACUACAAGUCCCAAACUGUUAGCUCUUGCCACCCCCACAUCUGAGAGCUUGCUUCAACGUAAGCAUUCAGAGCUGAAUUAUACACUACAGUGUGCUGCUAGCAGGAUGCCAGGUAUUAAAAGUAAAGACCAGCCAACGAGCAGUGCCAAGCUUUGUACAUAUAAAAACAAAGUGAUCCAAACACAACUCUGUAGAACUUCGAUACAAUACAUUUAUAUUAUCACACUACAUUUUCUGACAUAUUCAGCAUUCUUGACCCAAAUUAGACUUUUUUUUAACCUAAAAUAUUCCAUCAUAACAGUAACCAGUGUAAACACAAUUUGAGACAGAAGAAAAAAAGCCAAAAGGUAUGUGCCCAGGUUAUCAGAGUUUGUUUCUUCAUGAAUGACAACAAAGGUAUAAAAAAGGACCCCAGUGCUUAGCACUGUACCUUGUCCUAUGGAAUUAUUUUUGGUUCCUUCCUUUUACGUUGUCCACUUGUCUAACCGCUGACAAACACAGCCCUUGAGAUCUGCCUCCAAAAUAACAACAAAAAAGUUAACUGUAACUACAGAAUUUUUUUUUAUCAAAGCAAUGCCAGUGAACCGAAGGUGUACCAAAGCAGUUAUUUAGAAUACCAAAGAAAAAUAGGAAUAGUUCCUCACUGGCACAGGAGCCCCCUCCUACCCCCUACACACAUAGUCUCUCUUUCUCGCCUCUCUGUCCCCCUCCCUCAUUCCUUCCUCCUCAGCCUUGCUCCCUUCAGUCGAUAGGCCCUGGGCAGACGACACAGGGGACAAGCAGGGGGAAAUGAGCUCACCUGCGAUGGCCGUGGCGGUGCUUGUUAUGGUCGCACCCACCCAUCCCAUUGCCUGAGGUCAUGGAGUCCCACCCCAGAACAAGCCAUGGCACAUUCCAGUACACUCAGGCUAUGCCAGCAGUGCCAAUGUCCCCCUCCUCACAACACUAUUCACUUCACCUUUUUGACAGCAAUGAAUGCAGUUGACCAGCGGGACAGACAUGGAUUAUCCUCCACCGCUCAAGAUACCAGUUCACCUGCUAACCUGCUGCUGGACUGAAAACUGGACAAAAACAGCAGGAGCCAUAUAUGACCUCUCUAAGAGUGAUUGUACAAUUGAGUACUCUCCUGUAAAACAGGGAGUGGACGCAUAGGAGCGUAAUUAUGUAUGACGAGUUGUGCUUUAAUGCUGAAGUAUUAAGUAGGAGACGAGCAUGAUGAACUAACACACACCAGACGUGGAGGGUGGUAUCAUUGGGACACUUAAAAUUUAUUAAAAAUUUUAAAAAGCUGUAAAGGUGCACAAAUGCAUUUCAAGUUAAUAA